CUCGAGGUGACGAGCGGCGGACCCCGUUUAGUAAUGUCUGGGAAACUGCCUGAUGGAGGGGGAUAACUCCUGGAAACGGUAUCUAAUACCGCAUAAUGUCGCAAGACAAAAGUGGGGGACCUUCGGGCCUCAUGCCAUCAGAUGUGCCCAGAUGGGAUUAGCUAGUAGGUGGGGUAACGGCUCACCUAGGCGACGAUCCCUAGCUGGUCUGAGAGGAUGACCAGCCACACUGGAACUGAGACACGGUCCAGACUCCUACGGGAGGCAGCAGUGGGGAAUAUUGCACAAUGGGCGCAAGCCUGAUGCAGCCAUGCCGCGUGUGUGAAGAAGGCCUUCGGGUUGUAAAGCACUUUCAGCGGGGAGGAAGGCGUUGAGGUUAAUAACCUUGUCGAUUGACGUUACCCGCAGAAGAAGCACCGGCUAACUCCGUGCCAGCAGCCGCGGUAAUACGGAGGGUGCAAGCGUUAAUCGGAAUUACUGGGCGUAAAGCGCACGCAGGCGGUCUGUCAAGUCGGAUGUGAAAUCCCCGGGCUCAACCUGGGAACUGCAUUCGAAACUGGCAGGCUAGAGUCUUGUAGAGGGGGGUAGAAUUCCAGGUGUAGCGGUGAAAUGCGUAGAGAUCUGGAGGAAUACCGGUGGCGAAGGCGGCCCCCUGGACAAAGACUGACGCUCAGGUGCGAAAGCGUGGGGAGCAAACAGGAUUAGAUACCCUGGUAGUCCACGCCGUAAACGAUGUCGAUUUGGAGGUUGUGCCCUUGAGGCGUGGCUUCCGGAGCUAACGCGUUAAAUCGACCGCCUGGGGAGUACGGCCGCAAGGUUAAAACUCAAAUGAAUUGACGGGGGCCCGCACAAGCGGUGGAGCAUGUGGUUUUAAUUCGAUGCAACGCGAAGAACCUUACCUGGUCUUGACAUCCACAGAACUUUCCAGAGAUGGAUUGGUGCCUUCGGGAACUGUGAGACAGGUGCUGCAUGGCUGUCGUCAGCUCGUGUUGUGAAAUGUUGGGUUAAGUCCCGCAACGAGCGCAACCCUUAUCCUUUGUUGCCAGCGGUUCGGCCGGGAACUCAAAGGAGACUGCCAGUGAUAAACUGGAGGAAGGUGGGGAUGACGUCAAGUCAUCAUGGCCCUUACGACCAGGGCUACACACGUGCUACAAUGGCAUAUACAAAGAGAAGCGACCUCGCGAGAGCAAGCGGACCUCAUAAAGUAUGUCGUAGUCCGGAUUGGAGUCUGCAACUCGACUCCAUGAAGUCGGAAUCGCUAGUAAUCGUAGAUCAGAAUGCUACGGUGAAUACGUUCCCGGGCCUUGUACACACCGCCCGUCACACCAUGGGAGUGGGUUGCAAAAGAAGUAGGUAGCUUAACCUUCGGGAGGGCGCUUACCACUUUGUGAUUCAUGACUGGG
rnacentral:rRNA from 1 species